rnacentral:sRNA from 1 species
GCUUCGGCUACAGGGGCACGCCCUCCAGAGGGG